GCCUGGGUGGCUCAGUGGGUUGAGCGCCUGACUUCCGCUCAGGUCGUGAUCUCAUGCGUUGGUGAGUUCAAGCCCCACAUCGGGCC
rnacentral:tRNA from 1 species